UGUGAAAUCAGAGUGCUGAUCUCUUCAGCUGAGGGGUUUGCAGCACAAAAUCCCUUCACUAGGCCAAGCAUGUGCUUAAACUCAUUUUUCCCAGGCACAGCCUCCCAAGUCCUGCUGGUGGAGGUCCGUUAGCACAGCAUUCUGGGUAGGUGAGAGGGCUGGUUGUUUUCUCUCUGUGUUUUGCAACUGAAAUAAGAAGACUUCUACCUCAGGGCUGUCAACCUGGCACCUGCUGCUCAUGUUGGUUUAAUGAGGAAAAGAAAGAAAGGCACAGAGUCAGGCCCAGAAAGCCUCAGCAGCACCUGCAGGCCAUGUGAAUGAAUUGGGAGAAACAGUUUCAAGUUUGGGGAAGAAGCCAUUAGGAGUAGUAGGGCCUGCAUAAUUUCCUCAGAAGCUGGAUGGUGCUGCUGGAAGUGAAAGACAGACAAUGGUAUUCAAGGAGAAUAAGAACUGAUUGUCCCCAGCUCCCAAGCUAUCUCAGCAGCCUGAUUUAGGAGGAGGAUCUGACUGCUUCCAGAUGGCAACCUUUUCGGGUGUCAAACAUGCUGACAUAAGAGAGGCUAGAACUGGUAUUGCUGCCUGUUACUCCUUGAAAAUAAAUGCUAAGUAAGUGGUCCAUAUUCAUAAGCAGCAUAAUGUUAGAAGAGCAAACACACAAUAUCAUGGCUGUUUUGUGAAUACAAAAAUUGGGAACCUGCAGUUUUUUCUGGUCACAGAAGGAAAAAAAGUGAUCUCUUCUGGCAUCAUGGUUACAUGAGCAGACCACUCAUGUGAAUGGUAAGUUUGUGGGGAGCCAGCCACUUGUAGUGCCGUCUGCACCAGAUCUCAAAAGUAACCUCACAAUGACAGAUCUCACAGUGACAUGAAAGUUACUGUGCUGGUCCAUAUUAAUCCAAAGGCUACCAAGAAACAGGAUCACUGUGGUUGGCCAAAUCCAAAACUGCAACUAUGGCAUGGUGGCAUCUCCCUCACCAUGUUUCCAGGCUGAGCCACUCAUGAAAGACAUGGUCAUACAGACAAGCCUUGAAAGUGUUGCUUUUUGCUUUUCUAACACUACCUGGUGCUAGGGAUACAGUUCACUGGGGCCAGUUCUGCAGGACAGAUAAACAAUGCUUUUUCUUUUAUGACUCUCUCGGUGGAAGAGCAGAAGGGGCCAAAAUUCACUGGUGGGGGCAAAGGCCCCUGCCUCUGCUGUGUGCUGGCAGCACCCCAAAGAAAAUUAGGAGGUUGUUCUAAGACUGCAGCAAUCGAAGGGCCCUCAGUUGAGUUAUGUGACCCUGCAAUGUUGGCAUGCAAGUUUUAAAAUCAAUUUACUCUACAUGGUUAAAUUUCUAAAGACAUUUUGAUAAUUUGAUAGCUCUACCAGAUUGGUUGAAAGAAAGCCUAUAAAUGUAAGAAAUAAAUGAUAAGUAUGAGGAAAUCCCGGUUUUGGCUCUUUCAUUAUUCUUUGAAGAAUAUAUAUAUCAGUCAUCUAACAACUAAGGGGAUAGGGUUUCACUUCUCCCAGUGUACGUCAGGGACAGGGAGACCUUGCAGGUUUCCUGUGCAAACCUUGGGGUGAAUGGCUUCCCCUUUGUUAAGCAGAGGUUAAAAUCAAGGGUGAAUGCAGCAUCCCGGCCUUCUGAACACUACAACAAGGAACUGGGAGUUGGUGGCACAUCUUGAAAUGAAAAAAUCUUCAAGUAGACCAACAGCCUCGAGGCAUUUCUGCAAAGUCACAGCAGAGGCUCCAAUCACAUUUCAGAUUUGGCAUGAAAGCCCCAGGCCCUUUUCAAAGUCAAUUGAACAACAUCCAAUAGAUGGAGGGGCGGUACAGCUUUGCAUUGAGAGGUGAGAGAGAGGCUGUGCUGCAGUUUGCCCCUUCUCAAUUAAAAAUGUAGGUAGGUGUGUGUGCAGCAGCAGAAAACACAACCUCCAAAGCAUUUCAUUAAAAAAGGUUAGAACAUUGCUGUUGGGGAAGGAAAGGGUUAAUUUUGUUCUCCUUCAAAAAAGAGAAAGAGGAAAGAACAAAAGUGGGGGGAGAGGCUAGAAUGCUAGAGAAUAUCACCUUCUUCCUUAACAUAAACAUAAUGGUAUUUUAGGGCAUUAAAUUUGUCUGCGUGGUGCUGAUUAUGCCCACCCUGCUCAGGGAUGGCAACAGGGAUCUUGAACCAUGCUACAUAUGUUGAGGCCUGCACAUAUGACAUCAUUGACUUGUGACAGACGCCUCUGCAAAGUGCAGUAGACCUCAAGAUCCUCAUCUCUACACCAAAUGUUGCCAGCUAUGUACCCAGAGUCAAUAAACCUGCCUUCUCCUGCACCAGGUCUUUACCCAGCACUGGGGGAUUUUGGGGCUCUGGGCCAUCCCAGAAAUCUCACCUGUCC